UCACCUGGGGAUUUUGCUAAAAUGCAGAUUUCUAUUCAUUACAUUGGAAUGGGGCCUGAGAUUCUGCAUUUCUAACAAUAUCUCAGGUAAUGAACAC
rnacentral:miRNA from 1 species